UACGGGGGGGGCAAGCGUUGUUCGGAAUUACUGGGCGUAAAGGGUUCGUAGGUGGCCAACUAAGUCAUACGUGAAAUCCCUCAGCUUAACUGGGGAACUGCGUCUGAUACUGGUUGGCUUGAGUGCAGGAGAGGAACGCGGGAUUCCAGGUGUAGCGGUGAAAUGCGUAGAUAUCUGGAGGAACACCGGUGGCGAAGGCGGCGUUCUGGACUGCAACUGACACUGAGGAACGAAAGCCAGGGGAGCAAACGGG
rnacentral:rRNA from 1 species